UCCCUUAAGAUCCCAAGUGUUGGGAAAUGUGUCCUAAAGCCAAUCAUCUAGGUUGUAGGUGAUUGUGCUCCAUAUAAGUAUAUGAAUUAUAAAAUGAUAAAUAUUAUCUGACAGAUUUAUCAUAAGGAAUACAUCUUUCAAAAUAGAGCUCAUAUGUUAUGAUGAAGUCCUUAGAACUACUACCAAAAUAAUAAAGGAGGAUUUAUCAUGUGGUUCUUAAAUCUAGCUCGUGACCAAAUGAUACAAUUGUUACAAGGACGAUAAUUAUAUCG
rnacentral:lncRNA from 1 species